rnacentral:lncRNA from 1 species
AACUGAGAAAUCAGGACAUCUUUCUCUACAGGCAAGAAGAGGAAAAUAAUACAUGAGUGACAGAAGAUUAAGUACAGUACUGAGCUUUGCCAAGUAGACCAGCAUAUUGCAAUAAUUUAUGAUACCAUGAAUUCAGUCGCACGUUUACUUUGUGGAAUGACCUAUCAAC